rnacentral:rRNA from 1 species
CCACCUGGGGAGUACGCCGGCACGUGAAACUCAAAGAAUUGACGGGGGCCCGCACAAGCGGAGGACAUGUGUUAUUCGAUGAUACGCGAGAACCUUACCCGGGCUUGAAAGUUAGUGACGUGCUGGAACAGCGCUUUCCGCAAGGACACGAACUAGUGCUGCAUGUUGUCGUCAGCUCGUGCCGUGAGGUGUCGGCUCAAGUGCCAUAACGAGCGCAACCCUUGCCUACAGUUGCCAUCGGGUGAAGCCGGGGACUCUGUAGGGACUGCCACCGCAAGGUGCGAGGAAGGGGGGGAUGACGUCAAAUCAGCACGGCCCUUACGUCCGGGGCGACACACGUGUUACAAUGGUCGGUACAGAGAGAAGUGAAGCGGCGACGCCGAGCAGACCCCAGAAAGCCGGCCCCAGUACGGAUUGGAGUCUGCAACCCGACUCCAUGAAGCUGGAUUCGCUAGUAAUCGCGCAUCAGCCAUGGCGCGGUGAAUACGUUCCCGGGCCUUGUACACACCGCCCGUCAAGCCAUGAAAGUCUGAAGCGCCUAAAGUCCGUGACCGCGAGGAGCGGCCUAGGGCGAGUCAGGUAAUUGGGGCU